rnacentral:rRNA from 1 species
GGGCCCGCACAAGCGGUGGAGCAUGUGGUUUAAUUCGAUGAUACGCGAGGAACCUUACCUGGGCUUAAAUGUAGAGUGACAGCUGUAGAAAUACGGUUUUCUUCGGACACUUUACAAGGUGCUGCAUGGUUGUCGUCAGCUCGUGCCGUGAGGUGUCGGGUUAAGUCCCAUAACGAGCGCAACCCCUAUUGUUAGUUGCUAACGAGUAAUGUCGAGGACUCUAGCAAAACUGCCCGCGCAAGCGGUGAGGAAGGUGGGGAUGACGUCAAAUCAUCACGGCCCUUACGUCCAGGGCUACACACGUGCUACAAUGGUAGAGACAGAGGGCAGCCACCCGGCGACGGGGAGCCAAUCCUAAAACUCUAUCUCAGUUCGGAUCGUAGUCUGCAACUCGACUACGUGAAGCUGGAAUCGCUAGUAAUCGG